GUCACAGGCCGGGUCUUACACGAACCUUAUAUUUUGAUACUUAUUUAGGAAAAAUAGUUUAUGAGUACACACUGGGAGGGCAGCAGGUUGGGCAGUAACUAGAGUCCUGUGUGAUCUCGUAUGUCACAGAAAAGACGGCCAACAUAGUUACAGGAGAUAUUGCUGAGGUCAUCAGGUUGGGGGUUACAGUGAGGUGGGGACUCAUUCGGUUUGGGGAUUGUCCGUUUCACGUUCUUAGUGUUGGGCUGAUCGUGUCCAACUUAGCUACCCAUGCUAGAACACAAGAAGGUGUUACAUCCAGAGGGAGAGAGUAAACGGCUAUUUAAAGAACAUGAAGAUAGCCAAGGUCAUUUUGGCUGUUAACUGUUUCGACCCAUCUUUCCAUGCUCAACGGCGAUGCUCUGCUCGUCUGAGGUGUUCUGCUCAUGCGAGCUUAGGCAGGCUGCAGGAGCUGGGCUUCCAGAGGGCAGCAGUCUGUGUAGAAAACGCCCAUAGUUGAAUGAUUUGGGUGUGGGGAAGAGGGGCAAAUGAUCCAGGCUUACUGACAAAUUGAACCUAAUUGAAUUGAAUUGAAUUGAAUGUUGUGCAAUGUCCCAUGUACCGCGAUCCUGUCCUGGAUCCCAUGGCCACAAAUACCGUGAAGCAGUGUUUAUAAUUAGAUAUGCUAAUAAUAAGCAUUUAUUAACUUAUCCCAUUGGCAAGCAUCUCGUGAGGGACCCGUUUUACCUAGAGUUUCAGAGCCAGUAAGCACGGCUUUUGUUGUCUAGGUACUUCAGGAGAACCCAUGGGGAUAUACUCAACUGAUCCUCCUAGCUUCUUGCUGACCCGUUCCUGGAGUCAUCACAGCCCCCAGCCCCCACCCCCCUGUGUUCUACAGCCAGUGGAGUUCUGGAGACCAAACAGCUAUCACCAAUCAUUUCACCUCCAUGAGGAAGAACGUCUUCCAAAGCAUAGCUGGCACAGGACACAAAGCAUAGCUGGCACAGGACGGGAUGAACUUCUUCUAGAACGUUCUGAAUGUUUCCUGCCUAUCAGCCUCCUGCCAGGGUAGAUUCUUUGGAAACUUUGUGGCCAGCUGAACCGGCCACCCCUUUCUGGUUUAACCCUCAAAACCCAAGCCUUACUGUUGUCUGUCUUCCUUCAGGUCUUCUCCCAUUCAGCUGUAUUGUCUCUUCUUGUUGGCUGCUCCACUGUUUGCCAUUGUACACCUGAACACCCUACUGUGGGCCGAGCAAGUUCCUCUAGAGAUGUAUCCUCCUCAGGGAAGCUUCUCUUCUCCUCCAGACUCCUGUGGAGCUUUCCCCUCAGCUCUCUGUGCAGCCCACUUCUCAGAUGCCCUGGGCCAAGUGGUGGGGGAGGAGCUGCUGCUAAACACUCCUAGUGUGAAGCCCAUUAAUGUUUGAAUUCUGAUAGGACCCAGUCUUCUGAACAUAACCACAGCUGCCUGGAGUUCCAGUCGGCAGCAGCCCUGUCAAGCCCAGAGGACAGCGGUUUGCAACGUUCUCCACUAUCCUGCUCCUACGUUUCAUCUGCAACACCCCCUCAUCUGAGACGCUUCCUGAGCCCUGGAGGGCAUAAACUACAUUAUUUGUCCCUGCCCCAUGUAUCAAGUUCUUGGGGAGGAAAAUAUGAACUCUUGGUAUUACAGAUAUUAAUCAUCAACCAGCUAUCGGCUGAACUGUAUGCUUGGGUUCCCAGGCUGCAAACAAUCGCUUUCACUCAUCCUGACAUGCUUCAGUUAAUCCCCACGAGGGCAGCUUUCAGGUCUCCUCUUGGCCUGACACCCUACGGAUCAAGUCUCCUGGAGCAAAAGGAAAACAGGACUAGAAGAGCUGGCUGAGAUGUUAAUAUGACCUAAAUCACAGGAGACCACAGAUUUUCACAGGAGCGUCACUACAGAAAAUGGCAAACGCCAAGGAAUGGCGAGUCCUUAUGGCCGGGCGAACAAAGCGCAGGCUUUGUGAGAAUGUCACUUCCCUCCGGCUUUGGGGAAGACGGGAGAGAAGUGCAUCUUCUCUCUGGAUCGUCUUCAAGCUGCUCCUGUCUCAGGGAGAAACUGAAGGCCUGGGGGUCCUGGCUUUGGAGUCUAACCUCCUCUUACAUUUAAUAGAUAAGAAGAUAGGACCCAGAGUGCUGAAACAAUCAGCCUAAAAAUUCAGGUUUCCUGAUUGUUU
rnacentral:sRNA from 1 species